rnacentral:rRNA from 1 species
UACGUAGGGGGCAAGCGUUGUCCGGAUUUAUUGGGCGUAAAGAGCUCGUAGGCGGUCUGUCGCGUCCGCUGUGAAAACCCGCAGCUCAACUGUGGGCUUGCAGCUGAUACGGGCAGGCUUGAGUUCGGUAGGGGAGACUGGAAUUCCUGGUGUAGCGGUGAAAUGCGCAGAUAUCAGGAGGAACACCGGUGGCGAAGGCGGGUCUCUGGGCCGAUACUGACGCUGAGGAGCGAAAGCGUGGGGAGCGAACAGG